GUCCUAGUGGUGGAAUUGGUAGACACGCUAGACUCAAAAUCUUGUGGAUUUUUCCGUACCGGUUCGACUCCGGUCUGGGACACCA
rnacentral:tRNA from 1 species